UACGAAGGGGGCUAGCGUUGCUCGGAAUCACUGGGCGUAAAGCGCACGUAGGCGGAUCUUUAAGUCAGGGGUGAAAUCCUGGAGCUCAACUCCAGAACUGCCUUUGAUACUGGGGAUCUCGAGUCCGGAAGAGGUGAGUGGAACUGCGAGUGUAGAGGUGAAAUUCGUAGAUAUUCGCAAGAACACCAGUGGCGAAGGCGGCUCACUGGUCCGGUACUGACGCUGAGGUGCGAAAGCGUGGGUAGCAAACAGG
rnacentral:rRNA from 1 species